UUGAACCUGUGGGGUCACACACAUUAGAGGUUCCUAUCUGAUCUGAUGGCUGAUGUAGAAUCCUACAUGUUUGGGACUCAGUGAUCGAGAAUCAGGAUUCUCUGAUCAUGAGUUCCACACAUUAUGGGUACCAUGGUCAAGAGUCCCACUGGUUGGGAUUUUUCGAUCAGGGUUACAUAUCGAUGAAUUCUGAUGCCUGAUUGCCCAUCGAAUUUGGACUCAAUAUUUAUGAGAGGUUUAAUUAGUGAUUUGAUCGCUAAUUAACUCAAUUUGAUUGAGUAAUUAUUUUUGGAUCAAGUCC
rnacentral:lncRNA from 1 species